UAAAUAAAAUAAAUAUCUACUCACGACACUUUAAAAGUUACUACGAUGGUUGAGCGAGAAAGAAGGUUGUCUGGGCUCACAUAAACAAUAUAUCAAAAUUUAUCAAUAAAUAAUUUAAAACAAAGCUUUAGAGAAUCAAAAGACAGCCCUAAGGUUUUGCCGAAACUCUGACAGAGUCCCCCCUAUACCUAGGACCUACCAAUCAUGCGAAAAUGUUCAAAUAACACUUCUAAUUUCUGAGCCCCCCAAAUCAAUCAAAACUCACAAUUUGAGAAAAUUACAUUUUAGUCCUCAAAGCAAACUUUUUAGCAAAAACCACCUAAACGAAUUUUAAAAAUUCUAAAAUUUUGUCUCGUGAGUCUUUAGCAAUAUUACUAAAUCAAUACAAAAGGAAUUAUAAUUUUCUAACCUACCACAAAUAAUUUAUGAAAUUUUAAUCUAAUUCAGGCACUCAAUAAUUAAGAAAACAUGGGUUUUAGGUUUAUCUACAUCAAUUCUGACGCAUAAGACGUGUUCGGGGCGUCUGAAAAUGAUAAGAUAGCCUAUAACCUUGAUCCGGUUCUGAAGUUUUUCUAGCAGCCUUUCUAUCCAGCUCGAUAUUUGCAAACCUGAGUAACUGUCGAAUUUCCACGAAAUGAUGGUACCGAAAUUUUGAUGUCGGAAAAAUUUCAAAUUAGUGUCGUUGCGAAGCCCUCGACGAAUAGAGUAUGCUGGUGGUCUCAGAUUUUUUAUAUGAUUUACAGUUUGAAAGAGAUCUAACCCAUAAAUUAAAAUGGACUAAAACUUCUGAAGCUUGAUUCG
rnacentral:misc_RNA from 1 species